CCACUGCGAGGAGGAAAAUCAACAACGAGGAAAAUCAACAACGAAUACGCCACGGCAAGAGAGAAGGAAAGACGCGAAUGUAAAACCUACCCGGCCGUAAGGAAGAUCCAACCUAGUGCAAUGUGCGUGUGGGCGUAGAGAUGCUGUCAUCUGUGCCACAAAAAAUGAAAUCAGCCAAGCAUAAAAAUGACUAUACUGUGACCAUAACACUGUAAAGAUGGUGCCCUUUGUCCAGCUACCUUUGCAGUUCUGAAGCAAUGCAGCAUCCCCUGGUUACACCCCAGAUGUUUUUGAUUACUUUUUCUUCAUUCAAUGACAAGCCUAGUGCAGAUAGUACAGUUUGCUUCUGCCAUAAUAUUAAGAUGAACGCCUGAAACUAAGGGAAGACUUAAUCCAUCAUUUCGGAUCUGACAAAUACAAAAUGCUACAAACAAGAUUCUGCCAAAUGCCUAACCUAAUCAAAUUGCUGCUUUGCAUAUUCAUAUUUGAUUACAAAUAAAAACUGUAUGCUCU